CCGCCGCGCUACCCCUCCCCCAGGCCACUGCCGUGCCGCCUCUCUACAAGUCGCUACCGCGCCACCCCUCCUGAGCCCCCCACCAACAAGUCCUCGCAUGCCUCCCACAGCUCCCCCUGCCAGCUCCGCCCGACCCAGUGCCGCUCGGCCGCUCUCCGCCAUCCGCGGCGAGCCCUGGCAACCGGAUCCGGAGACCCUUCCAGCGGGGCCGCCGGCCAUGCCGCGCCACCGCCAGAGCCCUAGCCCCGCCCGACGGCGUGGGUGGGUGCUGCACAGGGCGGUGGCCGCGAGGCAAGGCUGUCCACCAUCCUACCCUCUGCCUCAGACACGACGGUGGCCUCUCGCCGGUGCCUCGUCUCCUCCCAUGGCCAUCUGACAUUCUGCAGCGCUGCUCUGCAGUUUAGCUGCUGGUGGCAAGAGGUUUCAUUUGCCCCGGAACACGGUCCAGUAGCUCGUCUUGUGCAGUUCCGUGGAGAUGAACUCCACCACGACGGCGGCCGUGCCUCACCUCGCCAGCUCCAGGACGCUCUCUGCUCCAUCUUGUGUGCUUAACUGAUGAGGUAGAAUUAGAUACAGUUUGCGUUUCGGUGCCAAGCCCAUGCAGUCCACUGGACACAUGUGCUUUUUCAGAUAUUUGUUUUGCAUUCGUCUAGAGUUUCUCAAGAAGUUCUCUUUGUUCUUUGAUGUGUAAGAUAAAAACAGAAACUAUGUAGUUCGUCGGCCCAGUGCUUACGGUUUGUUUCUUCUCGCGCUUCGUUUUGCUUGUGUCAUUUCCUGCGGCCAGCAACAGCGUCACCGACACAGCCGGAGGCCUUUCGUCACUGCCGUGGUCGCCGGCGAGCUCUCCGAGGCAUGGUCGUGCGCCUGCGGCCAAGCGCGAGACAUGGAGGCGGUAGUCUUGAUUCUGAAGGUGUUCAGAGGCUACCUAGCACGAGUUCCCUCUCCAUGCUUCUCCCAAACAAAGAUCAAACUGAAUUUUGCGAUAAACAUGCUGCUGCACAUACGUACAGAAAAAGGCUUUAGAAGCAUUCACUGUUUUUUGGUUUAACAUAUCAAAAGAGUUGGCAAUUCAGUAUUACUUGUUUGAGGUUCAUUAUUUAUUUUGCCUCACUGAGAUGUUCGCUUUUAUAGUUUUAUUGGUGCAGGUCACUAAAAGAAAAGUAUUAGUGGUGGUCGCGGCGGCUCCAUGGCCCCAUGCGAUUCAGUUGCCGCUGGAAUUUCUUGUA